UGUGACAUGCUGCUCGCCUAGUCAUACAUGUGUGCAAAUCACAUAUUUUAAUAUCGAAAGAGAGCAGACAACAUGGAAACUUGGGAUUUAUUUGAAAGAAGACACCCUUGGAUAUAUUUCCUACAGUGCUGGCUGAAAUUAUGUCCCAGACCAUGACAGAGCCACCACUGUGCUUCACAGAAGACUACAGGCAGGCAUCAUCAUAUUCCUUACCAACUUCUCUUCUGACAUGUCCGCAAUCAUGACAUCACUUGACCGAUUACAGGAAAUUCCGCCUGGACUCCAUGAUGUCAAUUCCAGUCAGGAGCCCUAUGAUGUCACUUCCAGUCCAGAAGACGCUCCAUCUGGUCAUGAACCCGAUAACAAUACUUCCAGUCCAGAAGACAUCACUUCAGUCAUAAUUAACUCACUUGCUCUGCUGUACUUUAAAAAACCCACAAACUCAACCUCACCAGUUAGUUCUGUUUUAGACUCGAACCUGUACACAUCUGUACUAAAAAUUCUUACAUUUGCAGCCAGGAAAAAUUAUAUGGGUGGCUUCCCCAAAUCGUUUUUGUGGCUCUUGUCUUAUCUUUGACACAGCAUAUAAUAAACACCUAAAAUACCACAUUCGCCAAUCAGAAUAGAGUAUCACUAUUCAAUUUGUUAAAUUUAUCAUUAC